CCUACGGGCGGCUGCAGUGGGGAAUAUUGCACAAUGGGCGCAAGCCUGAUGCAGCCAUGCCGCGUGUGUGAAGAAGGCCUUCGGGUUGUAAAGCACUUUCAGCGGGGAGGAAGGCGUUAAGGUUAAUAACCUUGGCGAUUGACGUUACCCGCAGAAGAAGCACCGGCUAACUCCGUGCCAGCAGCCGCGGUAAUACGGAGGGUGCAAGCGUUAAUCGGAAUUACUGGGCGUAAAGCGCACGCAGGCGGUCUGUCAAGUCGGAUGUGAAAUCCCCGGGCUCAACCUGGGAACUGCAUUCGAAACUGGCAGGCUAGAGGCCUGUAGAGGGGGGUAGAAUUCCAGGUGGAGCGGUGAAAUGCGUAGAGAUCUGGAGGAAUACCGGUGGCGAAGGCGGCCCCCUGGACAAAGACUGACGCUCAGGUGCGAAAGCGUGGGGAGCAAACAGGAUUAGAUACCCUAGUAGUC
rnacentral:rRNA from 1 species